UACAUACGGGGCAAGCGUUGUUCGGAAUUACUGGGCAUAAAGGGUGCGUAGGUGGUCUAUUAAGUCAGGGGGUGAAAAUCCCGCGCCCAACCGUGGAACUGCCUUUGAUACUGGUGGACUUGAGUGCGUGAGGGGGUAGGGGGGAACGAGCAGUGGUAGCGGUGAAAUGCGUAGAUAUCGGGAGGAACACCAGAGGCGAAGGCGGGUUACUGGGCUGAUACUGACGCUGAUGCGCGAAAGCCAGGGGGAGCAAACGGGG
rnacentral:rRNA from 1 species